CCUUAUUGAUGGGGCUCGGGGGUCCAGACCCACCCACUAAAGACGGUGUACCCCUUCAUCGGAUUUCUACUGAUAUGCUUCAACUAGCACUUGAACACCUGUAAGGGAUUUUCACUCAGAGAACCAGUGUGGGAAUUUCCUGACUGACAGCCAUAACACAGGUGCUGGGAGCUGAAUUUGUCGGUAUUAAACUACAUGUCAUCUAAAACAACAGUUUCUACAAGGUUUUGUGCUGCAGACAGUUAAAACUUUCCAGUAUAAUGCCAUCAGCUGUUUGAUAACUUCCAUUUUUCUAUUCCUUCUCUAAUCUCCAAGGCAAGCUUACCGUUACCCCGUGUUCUCGACUAUUUCUUGUCCUUCUUGAUCUAUGAUUUCCCCCAAACUCUAUUAAACACAAGGUUACAGGAAUGCUGUGUUAAACAUUUUAACAGCUAUCCUCAAGAUGAGCGCUGGCUGGACUUGAUUAAUUGCUACGGGAGUCUCAGCCAACACGGAAAACUGUAGUGCACGCAUAUAACAAAGUCUAAACACAGAGUAACUUUAGCAAC